rnacentral:rRNA from 1 species
GCUCCAAUAGCGUAUAUUAAAGUUGUUGCAGUUAAAAAGCUCGUAGUCGAACUUUUGGUGAUAGCUGCUGGUUAGUCUCAUAGACUAUACUAGUAGCUUGAUCCUUUUUCCUGGGACAGCGCCUUUGGUGCGAUUUCAGGUGUUUACUUUGAAGAAAUUAGAGUGUUUAAGGCAGGCAUUUGCUUGAAUACAUUAGCAUG